UACGGAGGGUGCAAGCGUUAAUCGGAAUUACUGGGCGUAAAGUGUGCGCAGGCGGCUGAGCAAGUCGAGUGUGAAAGCCCCGAGCUUAACUUGGGAAUUGCGCUCGAAACUACUUGGCUCGAGUGUGGCAGAGGAAGGUGGAAUUCCACGUGUAGCGGUGAAAUGCGUAGAGAUGUGGAGGAACACCGAUGGCGAAGGCAGCCUUCUGGGCCAACACUGACGCUCAUGCACGAAAGCGUGGGGAGCAAACAGG
rnacentral:rRNA from 1 species